rnacentral:rRNA from 1 species
UACAGAGGUCUCAAGCGUUGUUCGGAUUCAUUGGGCGUAAAGGGUGCGUAGGCGGCGCGGUAAGUCGAGUGUGAAAGCCCCCGGCUCAACUGGGGAGGGUCAUUCGAUACUGAUCGACUGGAAGGCAGGAGAGGGAAGCGGAAUUCCCGGUGUAGUGGUGAAAUGCGUAGAUAUCGGGAGGAACACCAGUGGCGAAGGCGGCUUCCUGGCCUGUUCUUGACGCUGAGGCGCGAAAGCUAGGGAGCAAACGGG